UAUGUUUAUAACGUCCAUAUCCAUAGUGCAGUGUUGUCAUUUCCCUAGCACAAGAAAGAAAAGUGGUCUAUAAUCGUUUCCAUAUGGUUUAAUGCUGCCUAUUCUUUGGUGAAUUAAUGGCCAAGGUACUCAAAGAAGCCACAGCCAUCCAUAGUGCACGGUCCAACGUAGCACUUACAGAGACGAUGGUCAUGAGGCAGUAGCUUUGGUGGUUGUUGAGAAGGGACAGCGAAAUUUCGAGAACGCGUAGUGGUUAAAGACCGCGUGGCGUGUGGAAAACCCUACACAAGCAAGACGGCUAGGAACACACGUCAAGAGAGAUGUUGAAAGCAAAAGGAGUGAUUAGAAAUAGAAAUGGAAGCUUUUAUCAAUUCGGAAUCUGAAGCAUGAUUGCGGCCCUACCGCACGCAUAGUGCCGCAAUAGAUAUCAGACAAAACCCAUAAGCCCUACCUUUUUGUUUUUACCUUCUUAAUUCAAAGCCAAACCUUCAAUAGUACAACUUCGACAUGUGAUGAUUGUAGGCAUAAGAAUUUUUUUGUUCUCUAUUUUUCAAGAACACUUUUUUUU